AAGGUCCCAAGGGUUGGGCUGUUCGCCCAUUAAAGUGGCACGCGAGCUGGGUUCAGAACGUCGCGAGACAGUUCGGUCUCUAUCUACUAUGGGCGUUAGAAAUUUGAAGGGAGCUGACUUUAGUACGAGAGGACCGAGUCGGACGAACCUCUAGUGUACCUGUUGUGGCGCCAGCUGCAUCGCAGGGUAGCUAUGUUCGGAUGGGAUAAGUACUGAAAGCAUAUAAGUACGAAGCCCACCUUAAGAUGAGAUUUCUUUCAAGGGUCGUUCGAGACUAGGACGUUGAUAGGCUACAGGUGUAAAGGCAGCAAUGUCAUAGCCGAGUAGUACUAAUUACCCGUAGAUUUUUUACCG
rnacentral:rRNA from 1 species